rnacentral:lncRNA from 7 species
AUGCUGCUUGGACAAUUGGUAUAUCUUGCUGCAUGCUUAUGCAAUCUUUUGGUGAUUGAUAUGUUGCUGCAUGGCUGCAUGUUGUUGGCCUGUUGGCUGUUGCUAUCUUAUAUUGGUUCUGGCGCUGUGCCGCACCACUUAUUUUAUCAGGCACUCCUUGUGGACUCAAUUAGUCUGAGUUCUCCUUGGUCCGAUUUAAACCAAAAACAAAAUAAAAAAA